CUACGGGAGGCAGCAGUGGGGAAUAUUGGACAAUGGGCGCAAGCCUGAUCCAGCCAUGCCGCGUGCAGGAUGAAGGCCUUCGGGUUGUAAACUGCUUUUGUACGGAACGAAAAGGUGCCUUCUAAUAAAGGGCGCUCAUGACGGUACCGUAAGAAUAAGCACCGGCUAACUACGUGCCAGCAGCCGCGGUAAUACGUAGGGUGCGAGCGUUAAUCGGAAUUACUGGGCGUAAAGCGUGCGCAGGCGGUUUUGUAAGACAGAGGUGAAAUCCCCGGGCUCAACCUGGGAACUGCCUUUGUGACUGCAAGGCUGGAGUACGGCAGAGGGGGAUGGAAUUCCGCGUGUAGCAGUGAAAUGCGUAGAUAUGCGGAGGAACACCGAUGGCGAAGGCAAUCCCCUGGGCCUGCACUGACGCUCAUGCACGAAAGCGUGGGGAGCAAACAGGAUUAGAUACCCCAGUAGUCC
rnacentral:rRNA from 1 species